rnacentral:tRNA from 1 species
AAUGCAGAGCCUGAAUAAAGGAUUAUCGUGAUAGGAUAAAAUAUGUAACCCAAUUACCUGCAUUA